rnacentral:tRNA from 1 species
AAAAUCCGUCGACUUUAGAAAUCGUGAGGAAGGUUCAAGUCCCUCUAUCCCCCNAAAAAGACCGAUUUGACUAUUUCUCCUACCCUCUCUUUUUUUUAGUGGUUCAAAAUUCGUUCUCUUUCUCAUUCAUUCUACCUUUUUACAAACGUAUCAGAGCAGAAUUUUUUUUUUAUCACAAUCACAAGUGGUGUGGUAUAUAUGAUAUACGUACAAAUGAACAUCUUUGAACAAAGAAUCCCGAUUCACAAUUCAUAUCAUUGCUCAUACUGAAACUUAUAAAUUAUUCUAUUCAAGAAAUCGAAUUCCACGCUCAAGACUUUUAAUACUUUUUUAAUUGACAUAGACCCCAGUCAUCUAGUAAAAUGAGGAUGAUGCGCCGGUAAUGGUCGGGAUAGCUCAGCUGGUAGAGCAGAGGACUGAAAAUCCUNGUGUCA